rnacentral:rRNA from 1 species
CAGCAGCCACGGGAAUACGAAGGGGGCUAGCGUUGUUCGGAAUUACUGGGCGUAAAGCGCACGUAGGCGGACAUUUAAGUCAGGGGUGAAAUCCCGGGGCUCAACCCCGGAACUGCCUUUGAUACUGGGUGUCUAGAGUAUGGAAGAGGUGAGUGGAAUUCCGAGUGUAGAGGUGAAAUUCGUAGAUAUUCGGAGGAACACCAGUGGCGAAGGCGGCUCACUGGUCCAUUACUGACGCUGAGGUGCGAAAGCGUGGGGAGCAAACAGGAUUAGAUACCCCCGUAGUCCCUGUCUCUUAUAC